UACGGAAGGCAGCAGUGGGGAAUAUUGCACAAUGGGCGCAAGCCUGAUGCAGCCAUGCCGCGUGUAUGAAGAAGGCCUUCGGGUUGUAAAGUACUUUCAGCGGGGAGGAAGGCGGUGGAGUUAAUAGCUUCACCGAUUGACGUUACCCGCAGAAGAAGCACCGGCUAACUCCGUGCCAGCAGCCGCGGUAAUACGGAGGGUGCAAGCGUUAAUCGGAAUUACUGGGCGUAAAGCGCACGCAGGCGGUCUGUCAAGUCGGAUGUGAAAUCCCCCGGGCUUAACCUGGGAACUGCAUUCGAAACUGGCAGGCUAGAGUCUUGUAGAGGGGGUAGAAUUCCAGGUGUAGCGGUGAAAUGCGUAGAGAUCUGGAGGAAUACCGGUGGCGAAGGCGGGCCCCCUGGACAAAGACUGACGCUCAGGUGCGAAAGCGUGGGGAGCAAACAGGAUUAGAUACC
rnacentral:rRNA from 1 species